rnacentral:rRNA from 1 species
GAGAGGGUUAAGACCCUCGGCGGACUGCUCAGUAACACGUGGAUAACCUGCCCUAAGGUGGAGGAUAACCCCGGGAAACUGGGGAUAAUACUCCAUAGGUUAAAGGUACUGGAAUGUUCUUUAACCGAAAGUUCCGGCGCCUUAGGAUGGAUCUGCGGCCGAUUAGGUUGUUGUUGGGGUAGUGGCCCAACAAGCCUGUAAUCGGUACGGGUUGUGGGAGCAAGAGCCCGGAGAUGGAAUCUGAGACACGAUUCCAGGCCCUACGGGGCGCAGCAGGCGCGAAAACUUUACAAUGCAGGAAACUGUGAUAAGGGAACCCCGAGUGCCCGUAUAUGCGGGCUGUCCGGAUGUUUAAAACGCAUCCGAAGAAAGGGCCGGGCAAGACCGGUGCCAGCCGCCGCGGUAAUACCGGCGGCUCGAGUGGUGGCCACUUUUAUUGGGCUUAAAGCGUUCGUAGCUUGAAUAAUAAGUCUCUUGGGAAAUCUGCAGGCUUAACCUGCAGGCGUUUAAGAGAAACUGUUGUUCUAGGAACCGGAAGAGGUGAGAGGUACUCCGGGGGUAGGAGUGAAAUCCUGUAAUCCC